AGGACUAACGCUGGCGGCGUGCCUAACACAUGCAAGUCGAACGAAGUAGCAAUACUUAGUGGCAGACGGGUGAGUAACACGUAGUCAACCUGCCCUUCAAUGGGGGAUAACUAGCCGAAAGGUUAGCUAAUACCGCAUACGAUCUCUGAGUGGCAUCACUCGGCGAUGAAAGGAGUAAUCCGUUGAAGGAGGGGACUGCGUCCCAUUAGUUAGUUGGUGGGGUAAUGGCCUACCAAGACUCCGAUGGGUAGCUGGCUUGAGAGAGCGACCAGCCACACUGGAACUGAGACACGGUCCAGACUCCUACGGGAGGCAGCAGUGAGGAAUUUUCCGCAAUGGGGGAAACCCUGACGGAGCGACGCCGCGUGUGGGAAGAAGGCCUUCGGGUCGUAAACCGACUGUCGAGGGGGACGAGUAUUGACGGUACCCCUGGAGGAAGCCCCGGCUAACUACGCGCCAGCAGCCGC
rnacentral:rRNA from 1 species